rnacentral:misc_RNA from 1 species
GAUGAAGAACGCAGCGAACUGCGAUAAGUAAUGUGAAUUGCAGAAUUCAGUGAAUCAUCGAGUCUUUGAACGCACAUUGCGCCCCCUGGCAUUCCGGGGGGCAGGCCUGUCCGAGCGUCAUUGCUGCCCUUCAAGCCCGGCUUGUGUGUUGGGUCGUCGUCCCCCCCGGGGGACGGGCCCGAAAGGCAGCGGCGGCACCGCGUCCGGUCCUCGAGCGUAUGGGGCUUUGUCACCCGCUCGAUUAGGGCCGGCCGGGCGCCAGCCGGCGUCUCCAACCUUCUAUUUUACCAGGUUGACCUCGGAUCAGGUAGGGAUACCCGCUGAACUUAAGCAUAUCAAUAAGCGGAGGA